rnacentral:rRNA from 1 species
GGAGGUAUCAGAAGUGCGAAUGCUGACAUAAGUAACGAUAAAGCGGGUGAAAAGCCCGCUCGCCGGAAGACCAAGGGUUCCUGUCCAACGUUAAUCGGGGCAGGGUGAGUCGACCCCUAAGGCGAGGCCGAAAGGCGUAGUCGAUGGGAAACAGGUUAAUAUUCCUGUACUUGGUGUUACUGCGAAGGGGGGACGGAGAAGGCUAUGUUAGCCGGGCGACGGUUGUCCCGGUUUAAGCAUGUAGGCUGGUUGUCCAGGCAAAUCCGGAUAAUCAAGGCUGAGGUGUGAUGACGAGGCACUACGGUGCUGAAGUAACAAAUGCCCUGCUUCCAGGAAAAGCCUCUAAGCAUCAGGUAACAUUAAAUCGUACCCCAAACCGACACAGGUGGUCAGGUAGAGAAUACCAAGGCGCUUGAGAGAACUCGGGUGAAGGAACUAGGCAAAAUGGUGCCGUAACUUCGGGAGAAGGCACGCUGGUGUGUAGGUGAAGUCCCUGCGGAUGGAGCUGAGACCAGUCGAAGAUACCAGCUGGCUGCAACUGUUUAUUAAAAACACAGCACUGUGCAAACACGAAAGUGGACGUAUACGGUGUGACGCCUGCCCGGUGCCGGAAGGUUAAUUGAUGGGGUUAUCCGUAAGGAGAAGCUCUUGAUCGAAGCCCCGGUAAACGGCGGCCGUAACUAUAACGGUCCUAAGGUAGCGAAAUUCCUUGUCGGGUAAGUUCCGACCUGCACGAAUGGCGUAAUGAUGGCCAGGCUGUCUCCACCCGAGACUCAGUGAAAUUGAACUCGCUGUGAAGAUGCAGUGUACCCGCGGCAAGACGGAAAGACCCCGUGAACCUUUACUAUAGCUUGACACUGAACAUUGAGCCUUGAUGUGUAGGAUAGGUGGGAGGCUUUGAAGCGUGGACGCCAGUCUGCGUGGAGCCAACCUUGAAAUACCACCCUUUAAUGUUUGAUGUUCUAACGUUGGCCCCUUACCGGGGUUGCGGACAGUGUCUGGUGGGUAGUUUGACUGGGGCGGUCUCCUCCCAAAGCGUAACGGAGGAGCACGAAGGUUAGCUAAUCCUGGUCGGACAUCAGGAGGUUAGUGCAAUGGCAUAAGCUAGCUUGACUGCGAGCGUGACGGCGCGAGCAGGUGCGAAAGCAGGUCAUAGUGAUCCGGUGGUUCUGAAUGGAAGGGCCAUCGCUCAACGGAUAAAAGGUACUCCGGGGAUAACAGGCUGAUACCGCCCAAGAGUUCAUAUCGACGGCGGUGUUUGGCACCUCGAUGUCGGCUCAUCACAUCCUGGGGCUGAAGUAGGUCCCAAGGGUAUGGCUGUUCGCCAUUUAAAGUGGUACGCGAGCUGGGUUUAGAACGUCGUGAGACAGUUCGGUCCCUAUCUGCCGUGGGCGCUGGAGAAUUGAGGGGGGCUGCUCCUAGUACGAGAGGACCGGAGUGGACGCAUCACUGGUGUUCGGGUUGUCAUGCCAAUGGCACUGCCCGGUAGCUAAAUGCGGAAGAGAUAAGUGCUGAAAGCAUCUAAGCACGAAACUUGCCCCGAGAUGAGUUCUCCCUGAGACUUUAAGUCUCCUGAAGGAACGUUAAAGACGAUGACGUUGAUAGGCCGGGUGUGUAAGCGCAGCGAUGCGUUGAGCUAACCGGUACUAAUGAACCGUGAGGCUUAACCUU